UACUGUCUUCUUUCUCUUUCUGUAUCUCACCACCAUCCUCUUAUCUCUCAUUCAUUUCUCUUCUCUCUAUUCCUUCUCUUUCUCUUUCUGUUUGUCAUCCUUCUCUAACGUAUGAUUUUUGCCCUAAUACCAACAAUUUUCAGUUUCAAAUAUGUGAUAUUUGAUAUACCCUAAUCCCAAUAUUUUUUCGGUUACAAAUCUGUGAUAUUUGAUUUGUGUGGGUGCGAUUUUUGGUUUCAGGUGUGUUUCGACGGUUGAAAGCAAACAUAUGUGUGGCGACCAUGGUUUUAGGUGUGUUCUUACCGUGGAAACGGGCUUAAUACGGUUGUGAUGGUGGUGGUUGAAACGGGAUAGCAACGAUAUGAUUGUAGUUGGCGGUUUCCGUCGACGAGUGUGGUUCUCUAGCAGAUAAAUGUGAAAAGCUUUAUGGUGAAGUGAAAUGGACGGGGGAAAUCACUGUUUGAAAGGUUUAGCAAUCCAGUUGAAUCCGAUUGAACAGGGCAAGAUGGACAGUGGAAGCUGCAACCAACCACAUUUUGCUGUGAGUACAAAGGAUAUUAAAUUUGUUUUGAUCUUAUAUUCUUACAUCAUGGAUGUGAAAGGUAAUGUUUUGAGUUUUCCUAAAUUGGGGUGCAGCAGCAAAAUGUUUGCUUAGUUAUUCCAAAAAAUAGAAAGUUGGUGUCAUUGUAUGUUUCAGUUUUGUUCUUACUGCAACUGGGUCGGAGGCUGACCAAGAUUUAUCUUGAUUAAUAGAUUAUCGAUAAGUCCUUCAGCUUUCUCACUACUGUUAAAGUUGUUUAACAUUCUAUAAAGGCAACACAUGUUGAAUCUAAAAGUAAUGAAAGACUAAUUUGAAUGAGGCUGGGAAUGUUUUUGUAUGUCUUUAUAAUAUUCAAUUUUAAUGUAUUUUUAAUGUAUUUUGAGUUUGUCUAUG